UGAGGAAUAUUGGUCAAUGGACGCAAGUCUGAACCAGCCAAGUAGCGUGCAGGAUGACGGCCCUAUGGGUUGUAAACUGCUUUUAUAUGGGGAUAAAGUGGGGAACGUGUUCCCUUUUGCAGGUACCAUAUGAAUAAGGACCGGCUAAUUCCGUGCCAGCAGCCGCGGUAAUACGGAAGGUUCGGGCGUUAUCCGGAUUUAUGGGGUUUAAAGGGAGCGUAGGCUGUUUGUUAAGCGUGUUGUGAAAUGUAAGAGCUCAACUUUUAGAUUGCAGCGCGAACUGGCAGACUUGAGUGCGCACAACGUAGGCGGAAUUCAUGGUGUAGCGGUGAAAUGCUUAGAUAUCAUGACGAACUCCGAUUGCGAAGGCAGCUUACGGGAGCGCAACUGACGCUAAAGCUCGAAGGUGCGGGUAUCGAACAGG
rnacentral:rRNA from 1 species